rnacentral:snRNA from 1 species
UUGCUCGGUUCGGCAGCACAUAUACUAAAAUUGGAACGAUACAGAGAAGAUUAGCAUGGCCCCUGCUCAAGGAUGACAUGCAAAUUCGUGAAGUGUUCCAUAUUUUU